rnacentral:rRNA from 1 species
UUUGUUUGGUGGCGAUAGCGAAGAGGUCACACCCGUUCCCAUACCGAACACGGAAGUUAAGCUCUUCAGCGCCGAUGGUAGUCGGGGGUUUCCCCCUGUGAGAGUAGGACGCCGCCAAGCAUU